rnacentral:rRNA from 1 species
UAAUACCGCAUACGUCCUACGGGAGAAAGUGGGGGAUCUUCGGACCUCACGCUAUCAGAUGAGCCUAGGUCGGAUUAGCUAGUUGGUGGGGUAAUGGCUCACCAAGGCGACGAUCCGUAACUGGUCUGAGAGGAUGAUCAGUCACACUGGAACUGAGACACGGUCCAGACUCCUACGGGAGGCAGCAGUGGGGAAUAUUGGACAAUGGGCGAAAGCCUGAUCCAGCCAUGCCGCGUGUGUGAAGAAGGUCUUCGGAUUGUAAAGCACUUUAAGUUGGGAGGAAGGGCAGUAAGUUAAUACCUUGCUGUUUUGACGUUACCAACAGAAUAAGCACCGGCUAACUUCGUGCCAGCAGCCGCGGUAAUACGAAGGGUGCAAGCGUUAAUCGGA